rnacentral:lncRNA from 1 species
AUGGAACUAAAAUGGACUCAAAUUGAGUCUUUUAGCAUACAAUUCAGAUUUGGAUGUUAUCAACAACUUGUAUUUUGUCCUCGUCUUUUUAAUAAAUAAAAAAUGGUUGGUCUCAUUCAAUUUCUUAUUCAUCUACACAAAACUCAACCAUUCACUUUCUAAUAAACCCAAGUCCCUCAAUCUUAUCUUUAGCUUCUCUUCUAGCGGCUCUCACUCUCUCACAUACUCACAAACACCAAACACGGUCGAAUCAGAUCUACAUCUCCUUGAAUAUUUUAAAAGUUAAAAGCACGGUUAACAAUUUUAAUGUUCAUGGCUUCCUCAAGUUCUUCUUCCAGCACCAACUUAUUCGUUGCGGACCAUCCUGUGGGGGUUGAAUCUCGUGUACAAGAGGUUAUUCAACUGCUGAACACCGAACCAUCAGAAGAAACUCGAGUGAUUGGGAUAUGUGGUACUGGAGGGAUUGGCAAAACAACAAUUGCCAAAGCAGUUUAUAAUAAAAUCCAUCACCAUUUUGAGGCAAAGAGCUUCCUAUUAAAUGUC